rnacentral:misc_RNA from 1 species
AAAGUCGUAACAAGGUCUCCGUUGGUGAACCAGCGGAGGGAUCAUUACAGAGUUUACAACUCACCCAACCAUUGUGAACCCUACCUUACCGUUGCUUCGGCGGGAGGCGCCCUCAUGCCCCUGCAAUGGGUGGCUGUAGGGCGCCCCUGGACCCCCCUGCGGGGCGCCCGCCGGAGGAUUUCCCAAACCCAUUAGCAGUAUGUGGCCUAUCUAAGUCCUGUACUAAAUAAGUCAAAACUUUCAACAACGGAUCUCUUGGUUCUG